GGCUUAGAGUUUGAUCAUGGCUCAGGAUAAACGCUGGCGGCGCACAUAAGACAUGCAAGUCGAACGGACCAAAGCCUUAGUUUACUAUGGCAGAGGUUAGUGGCGGACUGGUGAGUAACACGUAAGCAACCUGCCUAUCAGAGGGGAACAACAGUUAGAAAUGACUGCUAAUACCGCAUAUGCCUUAGCAACGCAUGUUGCAAAAGGGAAAGGAGAAAUCCGCUGAUAGAUGGGCUUGCGUCUGAUUAGCUAGUAGGUGGGGUAAAGGCUUGCCUAGGCGACGAUCAGUAGCCGGACUGAGAGGUUGAACGGCCACAUUGGGACUGAGAUACGGCCCAGACUCCUACGGGAGGCAGCAGUCGGGAAUAUUGCGCAAUGGAGGAAACUCUGACGCAGUGACGCCGCGUGCAGGAAGAAGGUUUUCGCAUUGUAAACUGCUUUAGACAGGGAAGAAAAAAGACAGUACCUGUAGAAUAAGCUCCGGCUAACUACGUGCCAGCAGCCGCGGUAAUACGUAGGGAGCAAGCGUUAUCCGGAUUUAUUGGGUGUAAAGGGUGCGUAGACGGGGAAUCAAGUUAGUUGUGAAAUCCCUCGGCUUAACUGAGGAACUGCAACUAAAACUAAUUUUCUUGAGUGCUGGAGAGGAAAGUGGAAUUCCUAGUGUAGCGGUGAAAUGCGUAGAUAUUAGGAGGAACACCAGUGGCGAAGGCGACUUUCUGGACAGUAACUGACGUUGAGGCACGAAAGUGUGGGGAGCAAACAGGAUUAGAUACCCUGGUAGUCCACACCGUAAAUGAUGGAUACUAGGUGUAGGGGAUGAAUAAUCUUCUGUGCCGUCGCAAACGCAGUAAGUAUCCCACCUGGGGAGUACGGCCGCA
rnacentral:rRNA from 1 species